CGGGACGGAGCUCAGUGGUAGAGCACUAGCCUAUUAUGCAUGAGGCUCUGGGUUCAACCCUCGGCAUCACAA
rnacentral:tRNA from 1 species